rnacentral:tRNA from 1 species
GCGGAAUUAGCUCAGUUGGUUAGAGCGUUUCCUUGACAUGGAAAAGGUCGGCGGUUCGAAUCCGCCAUUUCGCA